rnacentral:rRNA from 1 species
AUUGAACGCUGGCGGCAGGCCUAACACAUGCAAGUCGAACGAGUGGCGGACGGGUGAGUAAUGUCUGGGAAACUGCCCGAUGGAGGGGGAUAACUACUGGAAACGGUAGCUAAUACCGCAUACCAUCGGAUGUGCCCAGAUGGGAUUCGCUAGUAGGUGGGGUAACGGCGCACCUAGGCGACGAUCCCUAGCUGGUCUGAGAGGAUGACCAGCCACGCUGGAACUGAGACACGGUCCAGACUCCUACGGGAGGCAGCAGUGGGGAAUAUUGCACAAGGGGCACAAGCCUGAUGCAGCCAUGCCGCGUGUAUGAAGAAGGCCUUCGGGUUGUAAAGUACUUUCAGCGAGGAGGCGGGAGGCGCAGAAGAAGCACCGGCUAACUCCGUGCCAGCAGCCGCGGUAAUUG